UACGAAGGGUGCUAGCGUUGUUCGGAAUCACUGGGCGUAAAGCGCGCGUAGGCGGCUUUUCAAGUCAGGGGUGAAAUCCUUGGGCUUAACCCAAGAACUGCCUUUGAAACUGUAAAGCUGGAGUGUCGGAGGGGAUAGCGGAAUUCCUAAUGUAGUGGUGAAAUACGUAGAUAUUAGGAGGAACACCGGUGGCGAAGGCGGCUAUCUGGCUCGGUACUGACGCUCAGGUUCGAAAGCGUGGGGAGCAAACAGG
rnacentral:rRNA from 1 species